rnacentral:tRNA from 1 species
GCCGAAGUGGUGGAAUUGGUAGACACGCUGUCUUGAGGGGGCAGUGGCGUAAGUCGUGCCGGUUCAAGUCCGGCCUUCGGCA